GUUUUCCCAAGGUCGCACUACAUGGAGAAGUUGGAAUACGAUUGGCACUGGAUGCAGGACAAGAAGUUGGGCAAAGGCACCAGCAGCCACAGAGGUUUCCAGGAAGAAAAUUGACACCGGAAAGAUCCCACAACAGUGUCUUGUUCAAGGUCAUAGGUUUUGCACAGGAAACUUGUGAUUCGAGCUGAAGAACUCUGGAAAAUCUAUGGAAUUUGAAGUACCAUGUCUCUCUC
rnacentral:lncRNA from 1 species